rnacentral:rRNA from 1 species
GACGAACGCUGGCGGCGUGCCUAAUACAUGCAAGUCGAGCGGACAGAUGGGAGCUUGCUCCCUGAUGUUAGCGGCGGACGGGUGAGUAACACGUGGGUAACCUGCCUGUAAGACUGGGAUAACUCCGGGAAACCGGGGCUAAUACCGGAUGGUUGUUUGAACCGCAUGGUUCAAACAUAAAAGGUGGCUUCGGCUACCACUUACAGAUGGACCCGCGGCGCAUUAGCUAGUUGGUGAGGUAACGGCUCACCAAGGCGACGAUGCGUAGCCGACCUGAGAGGGUGAUCGGCCACACUGGGACUGAGACACGGCCCAGACUCCUACGGGAGGCAGCAGUAGGGAAUCUUCCGCAAUGGACGAAAGUCUGACGGAGCAACGCCGCGUGAGUGAUGAAGGUUUUCGGAUCGUAAAGCUCUGUUGUUAGGGAAGAACAAGUACCGUUCGAAUAGGGCGGUACCUUGACGGUACCUAACCAGAAAGCCACGGCUAACUACGUGCCAGCAGCCGCGGUAAUACGUAGGUGGCAAGCGUUGUCCGGAAUUAUUGGGCGUAAAGGGCUCGCAGGCGGUUUCUUAAGUCUGAUGUGAAAGCCCCCGGCUCAACCGGGGAGGGUCAUUGGAAACUGGGGAACUUGAGUGCAGAAGAGGAGAGUGGAAUUCCACGU